ACGAACGCUGGCGGCGUGCUUAACACCUGCAAGUCGCACGGAAAGGCCCUGCUUGCAGGGUACUCGAGUGGCGAACGGGUGAGUAACACGUGGGUGAUCUGCCCUGCACUUCGGGAUAAGCUUGGGAAACUGGGUCUAAUACCGGAUAGGAGCCAUCUUUAGUGUGGUGGUUGGAAAGUUUUUUCGGUGUAGGAUGAGCUCGCGGCCUAUCAGCUUGUUGGUGGGGUAAUGGCCUACCAAGGCGGCGACGGGUAGCCGGCCUGAGAGGGUGUACGGCCACAUUGGGACUGAGAUACGGCCCAGACUCCUACGGGAGGCAGCAGUGGGGAAUAUUGCACAAUGGGCGCAAGCCUGAUGCAGCGACGCCGCGUGGGGGAUGAAGGCCUUCGGGUUGUAAACUCCUUUCGCUAGGGACGAAGCUUUUUUGUGACGGUACCUAGAUAAGAAGCACCGGCUAACUACGUG
rnacentral:rRNA from 1 species